AUUGAACGCUGGCGGCAUGCUUUACACAUGCAAGUCGGACGGCAGCGGGGGUGCUUGCACCUGCCGGCGAGUGGCGAACGGGUGAGUAACAUAUUGGAAUGUACCGAGUAGUGGGGGAUAACCAAUCGAAAGAUUGGCUAAUACCGCAUACGUCCUAAGGGGGAAAGCAGGGGAUCUUCGGACCUUGCGCUAUUUGAGCAGCCAAUAUCUGAUUAGCUAGUUGGUGGGGUAAGGGCCCACCAAGGCGAUGAUCAGUAGCGGGUCUGAGAGGAUGAUCCGCCACACUGGGACUGAGACACGGCCCAGACUCCUACGGGAGGCAGCAGUGGGGAAUUUUGGACAAUGGGGGCAACCCUGAUCCAGCCAUGCCGCGUGUCUGAAGAAGGCCUUCGGGUUGUAAAGGACUUUUGUCAGGGAAGAAAAGGGCGGGGUUAAUACCCCUGUCUGAUGACGGACCUGAAGAAUAAGCACCG
rnacentral:rRNA from 1 species